rnacentral:rRNA from 1 species
CUGCGGAGGGAUCAUUACCGAGUUUACAACUCCCAAACCCCUGUGAACAUACCUAUUUGUUGCCUCGGCGGUGCCUGUUCCGACAGCCCGCCAGAGGACCCCAAACCCCAAGAAAAAAACGUUAUUUCUUCUGAGUAAGCGAUUAAAUCAAUCAAAACUUUCAACAACGGAUCUCUUGGCUCUGGCAUCGAUGAAGAACGCAGCGAAAUGCGAUAAGUAAUGUGAAUUGCAGAAUUCAGUGAAUCAUCGAAUCUUUGAACGCACAUUGCGCCCGCUAGUAUUCUGGCGGGCAUGCCUGUCCGAGCGUCAUUUCAACCCUCAAGCCCCCCGGGCUUGGCGUUGGGGAUCAGUGAGCCUUCGCGCCCACUGUCCCCUAAAUAUAGUGGCGGUCUCGCUGUAGCUUCCUCUGCGUAGUAGCACACCUCGCACUGGGAAACAGCGCGGCCACGCCGUAAAACCCCCAACUUCUGAACGUUUGACCUCGGAUCAGGUAGGAAUACCCGCUGAACUUAAGCAUAUCAAU